AUUGAACGCUGGCGGCAUGCUUUACACAUGCAAGUCGAACGGUAACAGGCCGCAAGGUGCUGACGAGUGGCGAACGGGUGAGUAAUGCAUCGGAACGUGCCCAGUCGUGGGGGAUAACGCAGCGAAAGCUGCGCUAAUACCGCAUACGAUCUAUGGAUGAAAGCGGGGGACCGUAAGGCCUCGCGCGAUUGGAGGGGCCGAUGGCAGAUUAGGUAGUUGGUGGGGUAAAGGCUCACCAAGCCAACGAUCUGUAGCUGGUCCGAGAGGACGACCAACCACACUGGGAGUGAGACACGGCCCAGGCUCCUACGGGAGUGGGCAGUGGGGAAUUUUGGACAAUGGGCGCAAGCCUGAUCCAGCAAUGCCGCGUGCAGGAAGAAGGCCUUCGGGUUGUAAACUGCUUUUGUACGGAACGAAACGGUCUGGGUUAAUACCUCGGGCUAAUGACGGUACCGUAAGAAUAAGCACCGGCUAACUACGUGCCAGCCGCCGCAGUAACAC
rnacentral:rRNA from 1 species